rnacentral:rRNA from 1 species
UACGUAGGGUGCAAGCGUUAAUCGGAAUUACUGGGCGUAAAGCGUGCGCAGGCGGCUUUGCAAGACAGAUGUGAAAUCCCCGGGCUUAACCUGGGAACUGCAUUUGUGACUGCAUGGCUGGAGUGCGGCAGAGGGGGGAUGGAAUUCCGCGUGUAGCAGUGAAAUGCGUAGAUAUGCGGAGGAACACCGAUGGCGAAGGCAGUCCCCGUGGGCCUGCACUGA